GAUGAACGCUGGCGGCGUGCCUAAUACAUGCAAGUCGAGCGAACAGACGAGUAUCUUGCUCCUCUUACGUUAGCGGCUGACGGGUGAUUAACACGUGUAUAACCUACCUAUAUGUCUUGUAUAACUUCGUGAAACCGUUUCUAAUACCGGAUAAUAUUUUUAACCGCAUGGUUCCAUAGUUAAUUUCGGUUUUUCUGUCUCUUAUUGCUGGUUCCUCGCCGCUUUAGCUAGUUGGUAAGGUAACGUCUUACCAAGGCAACGAUGCGUAUCCGACCUGAGAGGGUGAUCGGCCACACUGGAACUGAGACACGGUCCAGACACCUACGGGAGGCAGCAGUAGGGAAGAUUCCGCAAUGGGCGAAAGCAUGACGGAGCAACGCCGCGUGAGUGAUGAAGGUCUUCGGAUCGUAAAACUCUGUUAUUAGGGAAGAAAAAAUGUGUAAGUAACUAUGAACGUAUUGACGGUAACUAAUAAGAAAGCCACGGCUAACUACGUG
rnacentral:rRNA from 1 species